rnacentral:ncRNA from 1 species
CACCAGGGGCACCGGAAGGCAGCUCUUUCUUGAUUCGAUGGGAGGUGGUGCAUGACCGUUCGUAGUUGGUAGAGCGAUUUGUCUGGUUAAUUCCGGUAACGAACGAGACUCUAGCCUGCUAAAUAGGCGUCGUCAUUUCGGUGUGCAUGGCUUCGGACAAGCAACUCACUGACGAUGUAUUAAAAUUAUUUUUAGAGGAACCGGCUGUUUCCAGCCGCUAACCGCUCAGUUGCUCAGCGCAAAAACUGGGGAGCGGUAUGUU